UACAGAGGGUGCGAGCGUUAAUCGGAAUUACUGGGCGUAAAGCGCACGUAGGUGGCGACGUAAGUCGGGUGUGAAAGUCCCGGGCUCAACCUGGGAAUUGCAUUCGAGACUGCAUUGCUGGAGUACGGAAGAGGAGGGCGGAAUUCCCGGUGUAGCGGUGAAAUGCGUAGAUAUCGGGAGGAACAUCAGUGGCGAAGGCGGCCCUCAGGUCCAGUACUGACACUCAAGUGCGAAAGCGUGGGAAGCAAACAGG
rnacentral:rRNA from 1 species